rnacentral:rRNA from 1 species
GACGAACGCUGGCGGCGUGCUUAACACAUGCAAGUCGAACGAUGAUCCGGGUGCUUGCACCUGGGGAUUAGUGGCGAACGGGUGAGUAACACGUGAGUAACCUGCCCUGGACUCUGGGAUAACCCCGAGAAAUCGGAGCUACUACCGGAUAGGACUUUUCCUAGCACGAGGUGGGGUGGAAAGUUUUUUCGGUUUGGGAUGGACUCGCGGCCUAUCAGCUUGGUGGUGAGGUAAUGGCUCACCAAGGCGUCGACGGGUACCCGGCCUGAGAGGGUGACCGGCCACACUGGGACUGAGACACGGCCCAGACUCCUACGGGAGGCAGCAGUGGGGAAUAUUGCACAAUGGGCGCAAGCCUGAUGCAGCAACGCCGCGUGCGGGAUAACGGCCUUCGGGUUGUAAACCGCUUUUAGUAGGGAAGAAGCCUCUUGGGGUGACGGUGCCUGCAGAAAAAGGACCGGCUAACUACGUGCCAGCAGCCGCAGUAA